rnacentral:rRNA from 1 species
UACGGGGGGGGCAAGCGUUGUUCGGAAUUACUGGGCGUAAAGGGCUCGUAGGUGGCCAACUAAGUCGGACGUGAAAUCCCUCAGCUUAACUGGGGAACUGCGUCCGAUACUGGAUGGCUUGAGUUUGGGAGAGGGAUGCGGAAUUCCAGGUGUAGCGGUGAAAUGCGUAGAUAUUUGGAGGAACACCGGUGGCGAAGGCGGCAUCCUGGACCAACACUGACACUGAGGAGCGAAAGCCAGGGGAGCAAACGGG